GCCGCGUUGGCGUAGUGGUAGCGCGUCGCACUUGUACCGUACUGGAACGUACGAAAUUGAAAUGCGAAGGUCACUCGUUCAACCCGGGUACGUGGCA